CUGCUCAUAAACCUGGGCUGGGCCUGUCAUAUCAUGUGCCUGGAGGACAGACCUGAGAUCAUGUGACCUGCCUCACCCCAGAGAUUGCCCAACUGCCCUAUCCCAUACCUGUUCCCCAGAAGGCCAUGGUAGUAGGCAAAGUAGACCAGGGAGUUGUCAUUCUGCUCAUAGGAGGAGAGUCCAUUGCCCACAGCCAGCCCCUGUGAAACACCCAGGGUGCUCAGCUCAUGUGGAGGGCAAAAAGGAAGAGCCUCCCUCACCCUACCACCCAGACCUUCAGCAAUCCGGAAGCUGAAACCCAGGGUGGUUUAUGUAGGCCGGUGGGUAUGAGAGGCCACUCAAUGCAAAACACAGAGCUGGCAGCCUGACAGCUACCCUGCACCUGAAGGUUCAUGCUGGGAUCCUGCAUGACCAGCACGGCCAGGGUGGGGAUGUAGAUGCCAGCAUAGCUCUCCCCGGUCAGGAAAAGUUUGUUGUUCUUGUACUCCGGAAAGAGGCGGAAGAAAUCUUGAAGGGCCUCAAAAUUGCUCUGGGCGACCUGGGGAUGGCAGAGCAAGACAGAGGGAAUC
ensembl:lncRNA novel transcript, antisense to CTSA